rnacentral:rRNA from 1 species
AUUGAACGCUAGCGGGAUGCUUUACACAUGCAAGUCGAACGAGUGGCGGACGGGUGAGUAAUAUAACGGAACGUGCCCAGUAGCGGGGGAAAACUACUCAAAAGAGUGGCUAAUCCCGCAUACUAUUGGAGCGGCCGAUCUCGGAUUAGCUAGUUGGGGGGGUAAAGGCUCACCAAGGCAACGAUCCGUAGCUGGUUUGAGAGGAGGACCUGCCACACUGGGACUGAGACACGGCCCAGACUCCUACGGGAGGCAGCAGUGGGGAAUUUUGGACAAUGGGGGAAACCCUGAUCCAGCCAUCCCGCGUGUAUGAGAAGGCCUUCGGGUUGUAAAGCACUUUUGGCAGGGAAGCGUUAUCUGCAGAAUAAGCACCGGCUAACUACGUGCCAGCAGCCGCGGUAAUAC